CAAAUUUCCUUAAGACUUUUAAAGUUACUGGUGACAUGAAUACAACCAGGGGUUCAGGAUAGUUUGUGAUUCUGUACUAUUAUCAUGCUGACAGAUUCUUUUUUGCUGUUCUCCAGUCAAGACAUGCAACUGUGAGUGUCGAUAUGAUGCUAGAGACUCUAAAGCGUUCAGCCUACGACAAGGUAAAAUUUUGGUUACUUUUCUUUCUCACUUCCCCCUUGUGAACUUUUCAUUCCUAAAGAAUGAUUGAGUAUGCGGUCAUUUCUGUGAAGCAUUAACAUCAGUACCAUGAGCAUGGCCCCUAUUGCCUUUAUUCUCUAUACGAUGUUUUCUCUUUCUUCUAGAAUACACUUGAGGAGGGAUGGUUAUGUUGUUAAAAUGAUUAAGUUUCAAUACAGUUCAUACGCGUCGAUAUGGAGUAGUACAAGAUCUGUACCAACCCGAACUUGACUUUCAUACCGGUUUCCACCCGGUAUAGGACGUGCCGUACUGUACUGGGUGGUAUGGUAGACCAUGCUCUGUCUGAAUAUCAUCAAGAUCAUAUCUGAAGGAAGGUUUUUACAGUGACCUAUCUCGACAACUUGUAGUACAAUGCUUUUAGGUAUCUGGUACUUGACUAGUGACCUUGGUGUAGCAUUAGUUUGGGCUGAUCUUAAUUAGUUUUAGAUUUUAAGGGAAGAAAGACAUAAAAGUCACAAAUUAGGGAGUUUGGGUUUUGAUAAGAUUAUCAUAUGUGAAUGGCAUGCGUAUUUGAAAAUUUCUUAAGAAUGGAAAAAAAUAAAGAGGAGAUAC
rnacentral:lncRNA from 1 species